AUUUUGAAGCCACUUGUCUAUUGGCUGGUUGAAAACUUAACCCAAUACCCCGCCGGGACGACUUGCAAUACAGUCGGCCCUGGCAAUUUUUGAUAGUCUCGUCAGAGA
ensembl:snRNA U4 U4 spliceosomal RNA